GACAGGGGAUGCAAGCGUUAUCCGGAAUGAUUGGGCGUAAAGCGUCUGUAGGUGGCUUUUUAAGUCUGCCGUCAAAUCCCAGGGCUCAACCCUGGCCAGGCGGUGGAGACUACUAGGCUGGAGUACGGUAGGGGCAGAGGGAAUUUCCGGUGGAGCGGUGAAAUGCGUAGAUAUUGGGAGGAACACCAGUGGCGAAGGCGGCUCACUGGACCGGUUCUGACGCUGAGGCGCGAAAGCGUGGGGAGCAAACGGG
rnacentral:rRNA from 1 species